GAGCCGGCAGUCAGACGUGUUCAGCCGUGCUCCUGCUUAAUUUUUCUAAAACUAUAAUUUCAUUGCGCACUUUCUCCAAACUUAACGCGAAUAUCGGUUUCUAACAUAUACGAGAUGCUCUGGAGCGAGUUUGAGCUGUGGACAUUACUUCAAUCGCGACCGAGCUCCGACCUGAUCGCUGAGCCCGACUCCAGCUUCCUACAGGCCGCUGUGAGCAACCUGAGGCCUGAGUCAGAAAUGGACGCCGCGGAUUUGAAAACGGACAUCUUUGUUAUCAGAUCAGGUCAUAGAGGCAGAAGAAGGUGACGACGUCUCGUUAGAGUGUCAACAAGAUGCCGAAGUCAGUUUGAAGGAUUCACUAGUGGAGUGGAGUAAAGACAACCGCACGAAUCUUGUCCAUGUUUAUAGACAUGGACGAGACUAUCUUAAUGACCAGAAGGAAGAGUUCAAAGGCAGGACAACCCUCUUCCAUGAAGGAUUGAGCCGAGGAAACGUCACCCUGCAGCUCCACUCUGUGCGUCUGUCUGAUAGUGGAAGAUUCAGGUGCUAUGUGAAAAAACUGGACCUCUAUCGUUAUAUUAUCCUCAAAGUCGUGCAGAAAGGCCAGAACAACCCAACACAAGAUUUCAGUUCAACUCCACUUCCAGUGGAGACAACAACUGAACCAAAUGAUCCUGAUGGUGGAAGGAGUCACCUUCUCAUCAUUAUUCCUGCUGUCGGCUUCAUCAUUUGUAUUGGUUUACUACUGCUGAUGAAAUGUGGAAUGAAAUGUUGGAAGGAGCUCAGAGGAAGAAGGAA